rnacentral:misc_RNA from 1 species
UCAAACUUGGUCAUUUAGAGGAAGUAAAAGUCGUAACAAGGUCUCCGUUGGUGAACCAGCGGAGGGAUCAUUACCGAGUUAUAAAACUCACAACCCUAUGUGCACCUAUGAAAGGUUGCUUCGGCAGAUGACCCCAGGGUGGGGUGCUAGCCUGGCGAGAGUCGGGCCUUUUGCCGAAGACUUUUACGCACUUAUUUUUUUAAACUGUUUGUUUUCUGAGCAAAAUUUUAAAGAUCAAAACUUUCAGCAACGGAUCUCUUGGUUCUGGCAUCGAUGAAGAACGCAGC